CCUACGGGUGGCAGCAGUGAGGAAUAUUGGUCAAUGGACGAGAGUCUGAACCAGCCAAGUAGCGUGAAGGAUGACUGCCCUACGGGUUGUAAACUUCUUUUAUAUGGGAAUAAAAUGUUCCACGUGUGGGAUUUUGUAUGUACCAUAUGAAUAAGGAUCGGCUAACUCCGUGCCAGCAGCCGCGGUAAUACGGAGGAUCCGAGCGUUAUCCGGAUUUAUUGGGUUUAAAGGGAGUGUAGGUGGGUUGUUAAGUCAGUUGUGAAAGUUUGCGGCUCAACCGUAAAACUGCAGUUGAAACUGGCAGUCUUGAGUACAGUAGAGGUGGGCGGAAUUCGUGGUGUAGCGGUGAAAUGCUUAGAUAUCACGAAGAACUCCGAUUGCGAAGGCAGUUGACUGGACUGCAACUGACACUGAGGCUCGAAAGUGUGGGUAGCAAACAGGAUUAGAUACCCGUGUAGUC
rnacentral:rRNA from 1 species